GAUGAACGCUAGCUACAGGCUUAACACAUGCAAGUCGAGGGGAAACGGCAUCGAAAGCUUGCUUUUGAUGGGCGUCGACCGGCGCACGGGUGAGUAACGCGUAUCCAACCUGCCCAUCACUUGUGAAUAACCUUGCGAAAGUAAGACUAAUGCCCAAUGACAUCCCACGAAGGCAUCCGAAUGGGAUUAAAGAUUUAUCGGUGAUGGAUGGGGAUGCGUCUGAUUAGCUUGUUGGCGGGGUGACGGCCCACCAAGGCAACGAUCAGUAGGGGUUCUGAGAGGAAGGUCCCCCACGUUGGAACGGAGACACGGGCCAAAGUCCUACGGGAGGCAGCAGUGAGGAAUAGUGGUGAAUGGGCGAGAGCCAUAACCAGACAAGUAGCGUGCAGGAUGACGGCCCUAUGGGUUGUAAACUGCUUUUAUAAGGGAAUAAAGUGGGUCACGUGUGACUUUGUGCAUGUACCUUAAAUAAGGACCGGCUAAUUCCGUG
rnacentral:rRNA from 1 species